UAAUCUCACUACGAUCGACUUUUUGUCUUUCCGUAUGUGGACUUGGAUGUUGCCGUGAAUAACAAACGGCUCGUCUGAAAUGCCUGAGUGUACCCCGCUUUGCGGUGUAUUCGGUGUGAUACAUCUUCACCGGAGUUGAUCCUUUAUGGGUCGCGUCUGUAAUUGGUGUGGCUCUAUGCUUCGAACCGUCUUCUAAUAGAGACAAAACUCUGACA
rnacentral:misc_RNA from 1 species